rnacentral:misc_RNA from 1 species
AAGUCGUAACAAGGUUUCCGUAGGUGAACCUGCGGAAGGAUCAUUAAAACGUAUCCAACGUUAACUAAUUGUGAACUCGUCUCCUCCCUUGGUAUUUGAGAAAUUGGAACUGUGAGCGAUAUUGAAUGGGAUCUUUAAUUAGAUCAGUCGUUUGCAGUCACUUCAUAGCUUUUUGGCUAUGUGACAAUAGUAUCAUUUGCUGAGGAUCCCUUCUCUCUGUUUACUUAUCCUCCAUUCAAGGAUGAGGGGCAGAGAGAGUGUAUAAAUAACCCCUAAUCACCCCCUUUUUGCUAGUUGACUUUAUUAAUGUUAAUUUCUAUGAAAGUAGAGAUUACACGUUUCAUUUAUUUGAACGUAAAAUACAACUCUUAGCAAUGGAUAUCUAGGUUCUC